CAUACUCACUCCUGAACUCAGUGUAUAGAACUGGAAUAAAAGUUAGUUGCCCUUGCAGGCUCUGAGUCAGGCUGUCAAGCCCGUAGACCAGCUAUGGGCCAUGUCCUGCCCAGGCAUUCCAGGCAGGAGGAAGAGUUUGAGCAAACUCCAAAAGGGAAGAGGUGGCCAGGCCCUUUUGAAGAACUGCUGGCAGUUCAGUGAGACUGGAAUUUAUUCAUGUGGACAGAGGAUGUGGAGGUUAAGAAGUUCCAAGAUCUGCAGAUGGCAAGCUGGAGACCCAGGAGAUUUGAUGGUGUAAUUCCAGUCCAAGUCCAAAGGCCUGAGAACUAGGAGAGCUGUUGGUGCAAGUUCCGGUCAGAAAGCCAGCAGGUUCAGGAUCAAGGAAGAGCUGAUGUUUCAGUUCAAAUCCAAAAAACAGAAAACAAUGGAUGUCCCAGCUCACAGCAGUCAGGCAGGAGGAGUUCUCUCUAUUCAUGGGACGGUGAGCCUUUUUGUUCUAUUCAGGCCUUCAGCUGAUGGAAUGAGGUUAACCCACAUUAGGGAGG
rnacentral:lncRNA from 10 species